rnacentral:sRNA from 1 species
GCUGGGCAUGGUGGCACAUCUCUGUAAUCCCAGUGGCUUGGGAGGCUGAGGCAGGAGGAUCAUGAGUUCAAAGCCAGCCUUGUCAAAAGCAAGGUGCAAAGCAACUCAAUGAGACCCUGUCUCUA